UACGUAGGGGGGCAAGCGUUGUCCGGAUUUAUUGGGCGUAAAGGGCGUGUAGGCGGCCCGGAAGGUCAGCUGUGAAAACUCGAGGCUCAACCUCGAGACGUCGGUUGAAACCACCAGGCUAGAGUCCGGAAGAGGAGUGUGGAAUUCCCCGGUGUAGCGGUGAAAUGCGCAGAUAUCGGGAAGAACACCCGUGGCGAAGGCGGCACUCUGGGACGGUACUGACGCUGAGACGCGAAAGCGUGGGGAGCGAACAGG
rnacentral:rRNA from 1 species